rnacentral:rRNA from 1 species
CAUGUCUCAGUACUUGCUUUUACAAGGCGAAACCGCGAAUGGCUCAUUAAAUCAGUUAUGGUUCAAUUGAUCGUAAAUUAUACACGGAUAACUGUGGUAAUUCUAGAGCUAAUACGUGCAAAUAGCUCGGUCCCUUGUGGAACGGGCGCAGUUAUUAGAUCAAAACUAAUCCGGCCUUCGGGUCGGUAAAAUUGGUGACUCUGAAUAACCGAAGCGGAGCGCGUGGUCUCGUACCGGCGCCAGAUCUUUCAAGUGUCUGACUUAUCAGCUUGUUGUUAGGUUACGUUCCUAACAAGGCUUCAACGGGUAACGGGGUAUCAGGGUCCGAUACCGGAGAGGGAGCCUGAGAAACGGCUACCACAUCCAAGGAAGGCAGCAGGCGCGCAAAUUACCCACUCCUAGCACAGGGAGGUAGUGACGAAAAAUAACGAUGCGAGGGCUAUUAGCUUCUCGUAAUCGGAAUGGGUACACUUUAAAUCCUUUAACGAGGAUCUAUUGGAGGGCAAGUCUGGUGCCAGCAGCCGCGGUAAUUCCAGCUCCAAUAGCGUAUAUUAAAGUUGCUGCGGUUAAAAAGCUCGUAGUUGGAUCUGGGCUUCUGAACGGACGGUGCACUUUUCGGUGCAACUGCUUGUUUGGUGCCACAAGCCGGCCAUGUCUUGCAUGCUCUUCACUGCGUGUGCUUGGCGACCGGAACGUUUACUUUGAAAAAAUUAGAGUGCUCAAAGCAGGCGUAUGGCCUUGCAUAAUGGUGCAUGGAAUAAUGGAAUAGGACCUCGGUUCUAUUUUGUUGGUUUUCGGAACUCGAGGUAAUGAUUAAGAGGAACGGACGGGGACAUUCGUAUUGCGGCGUUAGAGGUGAAAUUCUUGGAUCGUCGCAAGACGAACUA